GAAUCGCGAUAUGUAAUGUGAAUUGCAGAUUUCCAGUGAAUCAUCGAAUCUUUGAACGCACCUUGCGCUCUCCGGUAUUCCGGAGAGCAUGCCUGUUUGAGUGUCAU
rnacentral:rRNA from 1 species